AGUAGUAGUUCCAGUUAAAAGCUAACAUUGAGGAGCCGGUCACAAGUAUCGAUUGAAGAUGUUCUAGAAUGGAUGGAUCAACAACAGCAACAAUUAGAACUUCGGGAUGUCGAGAUCUUGAAAUUGGAAGCUCAAGUCUGUAUACUGGGUGAGUAUAAUGAAGAUCUAUCAAACCACUUGAGGAAGGAGUCGAUGGACUGGAGGAAGAAGAAGAAGAUGUGCAAUUAGAACUAGAUUUGGUCGAACCUACAUUCGAUAAUGUAGCAAAUGAUUAAUUAGAUAGGCCAGAGGGAUCGUAAUUUUUGUAGAGUUUUGUUAGAUAAUUUUUAGAUAGGUAUCAAUUGAAUGUUUGUGAGGACGCUGCAUAGUUAGGAAUGGGGCUAUGUAGAAUAAGUAGUUAUUUUUAAAAUGUAGAUACCUAGUGUAUAGUAUAAACAGGGAUAGAUAACUGCUGAAAAGGUGGUUCAGUAGGUAGAAUAGAUGAAUAGUCAGGAAAAGUAGUUAUCAUCUGUAGUAUGGGAGUUGGUAUCUGGAGGUAGUAUAAGGAGGAUGGAAGAGGGGAAGAAAAUGCCAGACUGUGAGAAUCGUGAGCUAAGGGCCAUCGCUAUGAUAGUGUGAGCCGGGGUAAGCUUGGUGCUACCUCUUUUCUUUUGUUUGUUAUUUUCUUUGAAUAAGAGGAUUGAGAGUUUUUAAAUAUUGUGAAGUGAAUUAUGGAAUGGAAAUGUGAUUGGUAUUAUUUGAGAAGAAUAAAGAUUGAAUGCUAAAAUCUGAUUGUAGUUUAGUAGAGAGAAUGAGUUUGUGUUUGUGUGAAAUACCGUAAUGAGAAUGGCAGUUCUGUGUGAAGAAUUCGAGUGAUUGGAAUGAGGGUAAUUGUGUACUGAAAGCUGUGAGGGCGUAGUAUUAUAGUUGAAGAUUAUGAGGGUGAAUAUAUUGGUGGAAAUAGCAGUUAUUGGUAUGACUGAAUUACUGUAAGGAAGAGACCGAUAAGGUGAAGGGAGAGAUUAUAGUUUCCUUGUGUAUUCAGAUAUUGAAAAUAGAGACGAUA
rnacentral:lncRNA from 1 species